GCAGGCGGUGCCCGGAUCUCUUCCGCCGCCAUUUUAUUACCGCGCUUUCUGGUUGCAGCUUUCUAUCGAGUCUCUAGCUCUCGUAACCUGCCCCCGCUAUGGAGGACAUGACCGAGUACAGCGGCGGCCUGGAGGAGUUCGCCGAGGGCUCCAAGAUCAACGCCAGCAAGAACCAGCAGGACGAUGGUAAAAUGUUUAUAGGAGGCCUCAGCUGGGACACAAGCAAGAAAGACUUGACAGAAUAUUUAUCUCGGUUUGGAGAGGUGGUGGACUGCACAAUUAAAACAGAUCCAGUGACUGGGCGGUCCAGGGGAUUUGGCUUUGUGCUCUUCAAAGAUGCUGCCAGUGUUGACAAGGUAUUGGAACUGAAGGAACACAAACUGGAUGGCAAGUUAAUCGAUCCUAAAAGGGCAAAAGCACUGAAGGGAAAAGAGCCACCCAAAAAAGUGUUUGUUGGUGGACUGAGUCCAGAUACAUCUGAAGAACAAAUUAAAGAAUAUUUUGGUGCUUUUGGAGAGAUUGAAAAUAUUGAACUUCCCAUGGACACAAAGACAAAUGAAAGGAGGGGUUUUUGUUUCAUCACAUAUACAGAUGAAGAGCCAGUAAAAAAAUUAUUAGAAAGCCGAUACCAUCAGAUUGGUUCUGGCAAGUGUGAGAUCAAAGUAGCACAGCCCAAAGAAGUGUAUAGGCAGCAGCAGCAGCAACAACAGAAAGGUGGAAGAGGUGCUUCUUCUGGUGGCAGAGGUGGUGGCAGGGGGCGUGGCAGGGGUCAGGGACAAAACUGGAACCAAGGAUUUAAUAACUAUUAUGAUCAAGGAUAUGGAAAUUACAACAGCACUUACAGUGAUCCAAGCUACAGUAGUUAUGGUGGAUAUGAUUAUUCUGGUUACAAUUAUCCAAGCUAUGGAUAUGGACAGGGAUAUGCAGACUACAGUGGUCAACAAAGCACAUAUGGAAAAGCAUCCCGAGGUGGCGGCAAUCACCAAAACAACUACCAGCCAUAUUAAAGCAGUACAUAGUACUUGGGGGGGCAGCAGCGGGAACUUCAUUGCAGGCCGUGUGUCACCCUGACCACGUCUAUCUCUGGGGGUCGCACGUUGCAGGCAGAGCGCAAGGCAUACACCAGAAAACGCUGUCCUGUGGUGGCGAUACCACGACGAAGUCAUCUUGCAGAACAUCAGGAUUGAAUGGAGGGUGGUCUUCAUGACAUGAGAUGACUUUUACAAAAGACUUUUUAGAGAAUGACACAACAGUGUCCAACUGUAUAUAGCGGCUGAUUAGUUUUCUUUAUGGUUUUUACUUUGUCCUUUUUGCCAUCUGUGUUAUGACACAAUGUGGAUUUGUGUUUAUACAAAUUUUAUUUGUAUAAUUUCAUGUUAAGUGAUUCUUGAAUAAAUGCUUACUUAUGUGA